ACGGGGCCGCACAAGCGGAGGAACAUGUGGUUUAAUUCGAUGAUACGCGAGGAACCUUACCUGGCUUAAAUGUAGAGUGCAUUUUUAGUAGAUAGAAAGUUCCUUCGGGCUUUCUGCAAGGUGCUGCAUGGUUGUCGUCAGCUCGUGCCGUGAGGUGUCGGGUUAAGUCCCAUAACGAGCGCAACCCUUAUCGUUAGUUGCCAUCUGGUAAUGCAGGGGACUCUAGCGAAACUGCCACCGUAAGGUGAGAGGAAGGUGGGGAUGACGUCAAAUCAGCACGGCCCUUAUGUCCAGGGCUACACACGUGUUACAAUGGUCGGUACAGAGGGCAGCUACCUGGUGACAGGAUGCUAAUCUCGAAAACCGGUCUCAGUUCGGAUCGAAGUCUGCAACUCGACUUCGUGAAGCUGGAUUCGCUAGUAAUCGCGCAUCAGCUAUGGCGCGGUGAAUACGUUCCCGGGCCUU
rnacentral:rRNA from 1 species